AAACUCAACGCUUUUAUGAUAUCUUUGAACUAUUAACAUAAUCUCUUGACUAAAAAUCUAAUUAAAAUCAACCAUUUACUUUAUUUCCUGCAGGAUCCAGUGAACUCCAUCAUUGCAACAUCAGUGAAGAACGGCAGGAUCCAGAUGUUUGGUGGAAGCUGCCCCUCUAUCUGUGUCCAGCUGUUUCUGUCCUUUUUGUUUUCUCCGUUUACAAACUUUGUAAACACAAAGUACAAUCUCAAAAUACUCAACAGAAUCAUCCAUCAAGACAAAUGCAGCAUCAGGAUGCCGCACUGGAAAUCUACCAUCCAUCUGUUGGACCAAAGAGGAGGAACGCAGCUCAUCCUUCAACCUUUAGCACAUAUUUUGCUGUCCAAUACACCUCAAAUGUGAAUUGUCUGCCAUAAAGGAAAGAUGGAAACUGAUUUAGUCAAGUGGAGAUUUUGAAAUCAUCUCUUUUUUUCUUACGUCAAAUAUUAAUAUGAACAUGUCAGGUUUCUUUAUACAUGAGCUGUUUUGAAUAAUUAGGAAGAUUUAAAGACUAGCAUGUGAAGGAAACGUUUUGUGAAUUUUUUUUGUGUUUUUAAGUGAAAUAUUUUGCUUUUAAGUUAUGGUCACACCGGCUUCAGCAAUGAGUUCAAGGGACCACUUUCAUUAAAAGGUUAAUGUAAAAAUGCGUAAAUGCACUUCUGAGUUCAAAUCUCUUGCAUUCAAAUGUUAAUAAACACAUUUUCAAGUUUG